ensembl:lncRNA
GACCGCAGGCCGCGAGUGCGGACCCCGCGACGGUCGGGGGAUAGCCGGGAGCAGGAGCGGGGGUUUAAAAUCUCGGCCUUUAACACACGCUGGCGUCGAGUCCGGCGGGAGGAACUGGGAUGGGUGUUCCCUGGGACCCGCACAGCCGGAGCUCCCUGGGCUCCCGAGAUCAGGACGGGCUCUGACGUUCGGGUGGAGAUGGGAUCCGAGUCGAGGUUCUGGUACUGGUCACUUUCAGGUGGAUCAUCGGGGUGCGCGUGCAGCCGGCCUGUGAGGGGUAGCCGGGUUUGCUAAGGAGCGAGCUCGAGUCAGCUUGGUACUGCCAACAGUACUCUCAAGGCCUUGACUUUUAAAUGAGUUAAAGCCCAAGAUCACUCUGUUUUCUUUUUAAUAAGAUGAUCAACUUGGAGAAUUAGGAACUGUUCCACUUAGGAAGCUGAGACUUUAACUUUUAAAUUUUCCAAAUGUUUUAUAUGCUCGGGUUACACAUUUAAAUGUGAUGAGAACAAUACCAAAAGCGCAAUGCCAGACAGUCACAUGAAGGAAACUAGUCUUGUGAGCACGGCCCUUGGCGUGUGUCUUUGAUAGGGGCUCCCAUUCCCUAGGCCCGUCAGUUCAAAUCUAAACUGCCGACUGACUGAUGUUGAAGAGAGAGGACUCAUGCUUUACGACUACUUUGAGUCAUUUCCUUUCCUUUCCUUCCAUUUUCUCAGCUGCCAGCAGUCUUCAGUUUUGGGUUGAUGGUUGGUAGAGUGAGAACUACUGCUCACUUCAGAGUUUGUGUAAGCUUUUGUGAAGAACUCCACUCUACUCAGUGGGGAAAUCCAGCUUUGUGAUUUCAACGGCCUCAAGCAUGCCAGGCAGGUGCUCUGAACUACAUCCCCAGCCCUGAAGAUAGAAGUCAACUCAGUCUUUGCCAUUUACAGGAAGUAUGAGAUGGAAGAGGAAUGUGCUAAACUAUGCCACAGGGCUGUCAUUGGCAGAUCUCAGAACAUGGGAAACUUCAAAAUUAGCAGCGUGUUCCCUUCCACAGGGAGAGAAAGGAGGGCCCUGUGAUGGAGGUUUGGAGGCACAUUGGCUGAGGCAUGGUUUUGUUAUGUUUAAGAAAAUAAUCCCUACCAGAGGUGCAAGAAGCUUUACUGAGGAUAGACCACCUGGGGACAGGAACAAAUGGAUGUGUACCAUGAACAAGAAAGAAUCCUUGAGAUAAACCAACAGCAGUUUUGGGCCUGUUCCUGUACCAUAGCCUCGUUCAAGGGUUCUGACAGCAUCAGUCCCUGGGAACUGAUUAGAAAUGCAGUCUCAGGUCCCACCCUAGAGUCACUAAGUCCUGUGUUCUGGAGUGGGGCCCAGCAGCCUGUGUUGUAGCAAACCCUCCCGUUGAGAGCUGCUGUCUGGAAGUUUCCUGUUGCUAAGCCAUUUAGGAGACUUUCCUUAGACCUGGUGGCUGGCUGGCCUGGAGACCGGAGUAGAGAAUAGGUGGGCUCAGCUGGGAAGCACUCUGGAGCAAAGGUGACAGGAUGUGUCGUUUGGGAGAGUGAGAGAGACAGAUGUAGGGAAGAGUGGUUAGUAAUGGCCCCUGAGAUUUUGUCUGCCAGAGCUGGGGUGGGAAUGCUGUUCACUGUCCAGAUAAAGUGUGGUUUGUUUGGUUUUUUUCUGAUACUGGGGAUUGAACCAGGCCCUUUGCACAGAGAUACAUCCUCACUCCUUUUUUAUUUUUUUGUUUUGAAGCAAACUUGCUAAGCUUCUUGUUAUCCAGACUGGGAUCAAAUUCAAAAUCCUCCUGCCUUAGCCUCUCAGAGCAUGUAUUACAGGUGUGUGCCACCAAAGCAUUCUUUCUGUAAGCAGUUCCAUUCAUUUCAGUUUCCAAGCUCAGAAACAAGAGAAAGCCCAUGAAGAAAUAAAAAAUUUGUUGACUUCCUUUGGUCAAGUAUCAGUUUUUCAGUGAAGCCCACAUUGGACCCCGACCACUUAAAAUUGUAUGCUUCUGCUCUCCUGAUCCUCUUUGGCUGAUUAUUUUUCCUAUAAUCUGCCCAUUUGUUGUCGCCGCCUGCCCUCCCAGCUGGAGUGGAAGCUCUGUGAUAGAACAACACUUGCUCUCUUCAUGUUUGGUCCCAGUGUUAUGCUUAGCAAGUGUGGGCUGAAGGAGCCACGUGGGCCAUGGUUGGUGGCCAGGUCAGCACACAGUUAGGACUGGAUGGUGGUGGGGGUUGUGGGCCCUCAGAACUGUCCACGCUGGUGUGGCCUGGGCAUGGCUGAGCACUGUCUGGGCCUGCAGGUCGGGUCCUUUUGUUUGCCUCCACUGUUCCUGUGUAGCUUGGAGGCUCAGACUGCUGGGAGAAGCUCAUCUAACUUGAGGUAGCGUACUCUUCCUCAGAUAGGGUAGAAGUGUGACACUCAGUAGUGGUGUAAGAGCACCAUAGUGUGAUCUCACAGGAUGAGGUGCUGGGACAGAUGCAGGGAGAAAAGUAGGUUUUCUGCCUUUCGGUGUUUAUCUGAAAUACGUUGUGUACUUUAUUUGUAGAAGACAAGUUGAGAUUAUGUGUCAGGUUAAUAGUUUAUUGGGUUCUUUUUUGUUGAGUUCUGAAAUCUGUAAAAGAAAGUAUUUCUUUAAAAUUCAACUUCAGAUAGCUCCUUGGAAACAAUUGUGAUUCUUAUGUGUUCAGUGUCUGCCUUGGGAAGCUGUGCUCAGGGAUAUUUUUUAGGUAUGAGUCUGUCCUCAGGUGUUGUAGGGAUCUCAGGGAAUCUGACUGAAUCAUUGAAAGGCAGAUUCCAGGCAACUAGUGCCCUAUCAGGCCCUGCUGCAGAUCAGGGGAGUGGUACUGAUGCCCGUCUACUGGUUCAGAGGAAAUAGUACUAGGACAAAUAGAGUACACCUUCUCUGCUUUGGGGCAAGUGUCCUGGUCAUUACCAUAAAUUGAAAAAAGGGAAAAACUUGAAAAGAGGGAAAUCUAUGUCUUGACAGCCCAUUAGAAGUAGCUCUGUGUGUGUGUGUGUGUGUGUGUGUGUGUGUGUGUGUGUGUGUGUGUGACUAGAAAUUGAACCCAGGGAUUCAUGCCUGCAAGACAAGUGUUCUACCACUGAGCUACAUGCUCAACCCUUAUUACAUUUUAUUUUGAGUCAGCAUCUUGUGAAGUUCCUCGGCUGGCCUUAAACUUGUG